rnacentral:rRNA from 1 species
GACGAACGCUGGCGGCGUGCCUAAUACAUGCAAGUCGAACGCACAGUUUAUACCGUAGCUUGCUACACCAUAAACUGUGAGUUGCGAACGGGGGAGUAACGCGUAGGUAACCUGCCUGGUAGCGGGGGAUAACUAUUGGAAACGAUAGCUAAUACCGCAUAAUAUUGAUUAUUGCAUGAUAAUUGAUUGAAAGAUGCUAUUGCAUCACUACCAGAUGGACCUGCGUUGUAUUAGCUAGUAGGUGAGGUAACGGCUAACCUAGGCGACGAUACAUAGCCGACACGAGACGGAGAUCGGCUAGACUGGGAGUGAGACACGGCAGAGAGUCCUACGGGAGGAAGCAGCAGGGAAUCUUAGGCAAUGGAGGAAAGUCUGACCGAGCAACGCCGCGGGAGGGAAGAAGGUUCUCGGAUCGGAAAGCGAUGUUGUAAGAGAAGAACGGGUGUGAGAGUGGAAAGUACACAAUGUGACGGUACCUGACGAGAAAGGGACGGCUAACUACGUG